rnacentral:sRNA from 1 species
UGGAGGCGUAGCCAGGAGCGUGGCCGCUUU